CCAAAAACAUAGCCUUUAGCCUAACAAGUAUUAAAGGUAACGCCUGCCCAGUGAAUUUUUUUAACGGCCGCGGUACCCUAACCGUGCAAAGGUAGCGUAAUCAUUUGCCCACUAAUUAUGGACCAGUAUGAAAGGCCGCAUGAGAGUCUAACUGUCUCUUGUAAUCAAUUUAUAAAACUGAUCUCCCAGUCCAAAAGCUGAGAUACCAAUAUAAGACGAGAAGACCCUGUGAAGCUUAAAAGAUCCUAUUAAACCCUAUAAUAGGUAUUUUUAGUUGGGGCAACUUUGGAAAAUAACCCAACCUCCAAGAAGAAGGGAGAGAAAUCUCUCACCACAAGACCAACAAGUCAACCACGACCCAGUAUAACUGAAAAACGAACAAAGUUACUCCAGGGAUAACAGCGCAAUCUUCUUCAAGAGCCCAUAUCAAAAGGAAGGUUUACGACCUCGAUGUUGGAUCAGGACACCCAAAUGGCGCAGCCGCUAUUAAAGGUUCGUUUGUUCAACGAUUAACAGUCCUACGUGAUCUG
rnacentral:rRNA from 1 species